UGGCUACCCAGCAAACUCUCAGGAUCUGC
rnacentral:piRNA from 1 species